rnacentral:rRNA from 1 species
AGAUUGAACGCUGGCGGAAUGCUUUACACAUGCAAGUCGAGCGGCAGCGCGGGGCAACCUGGCGGCGAGCGGCGAACGGGUGAGUAAUGCAUCGGAACGUGUCCAUGUCGUGGGGGAUAGCCCGGCGAAAGCCGGAUUAAGUACCGCAUACGCCCGAGAGGGGAAAGUGGGGACCGCAAGCCUCACGCGAUUGGAUCGGCCGAUGUCCGAUUAGCUAGGUUGGCGGGUAAAGGCCCACCAAGGCGAGUGAGUCGGUAGCUAGGUCGUGAGAGGAUGACUCAGCCACACGUGGACUGAGACCGACGGCCCAGACUCCGUACGGGACGCGAGCGAGGUGGGUAAUUUUGGAACCGAAGUCGGGGGACC